ACGAAGGACGAGGAUGUUGUUCAUUCAACUUGUAUCAAUAUUCCUGGCUAUAGGUGUCCCGGGCUUCUACGUAGCUGAAGCGCGUGUCGCUUAUUUGGUCAAGAGUCAAGUUGUUGCAGGAAAAUGUGUACUCGAGGACAAAGUCCUGGAACCAUGGACAUGGAUGGCGAUGAAACCUCCUCGGUGCGGCUACUAUUCGUGCGAACCCACUGACAUGCUUCUCCAUGCCCAUUUCUGCAAAGGGGAAGACCAUGUUCCUCGUGGUUGCCACGUCAUCCCAGGAGACCGCAGCGCCGUAUAUCCUUCAUGCUGUCCUAGUACGCAAUGUAAAUAACGUAUCUCUGUGCAGUUCGACAAAUGAAUUUUCUCGAAAAUCAGAAACGAUGUACGAGAAGAGAUAACAACUUUAUUUUGGC